GAGCUCGAUCUUGUUGAGCUCGAUCGCAGGCUGGAGGGGCUGAAUGCCCCCCUUCUCCAGUUGGUAGUUCGCAAGGAAGCUGUCUUGAAGGAACAUCACCAAUUUAUGUUUGGCAGUUAGGGGCAGAUGUAGCUCAGGCCUUGAGAAGAGAUAAAGUCAAACUCAGGAUAAUUUUAGUCUCAGUUUGCUCACAACCCCAUGCCACUAUUUAUAUCACUCAGUAUUUCAGAAUUUCUGGGACUCUUUUUUUAGCACAGUGCACUCUUGCAAUGCAGAAAUCUUCAGCCUUUGGUACGGAAUGUUGCAGAUGUAGCCUAGCAAGUUAUCAGUGCCCACUCUUGUGUUGCCAAGCACCACACUGAAUGGAAAAAGAUGGGAAAUGUAGCAGUGUUCAUAUCCUCAGGAUAUCUGAAAGGAGUUUACACCCAAAUAAAUAUUUUUGAAGUGCCAUUACAGGUAAUGUAAGAAAUGCAAUAGCUAAUUUAUGCAUAACAGGAUUCCAUUAACAUUAGUGAGACAAAUGAGUAGAUAAUCUGUUUAAAUAAUGAUAAACUAAGAUGCUGAGAGAAUUCCCCCUCCUCUUGAAAUUAGAACUAUGCUUAAGACCUGUAAGGGCAGAUAGGGUCUUGGUUUAAUGUCUUAUCUGAAUGGUGACUCUUCUGACAGCAUAGCACUGCUUCAGAACUGCACUGGAGUGUCAUCCUGGAUCCACAGUAUUUCUUGAAAUCUACAAUCUGCUGACUCAGGAUGCUUUUGUGCAACUGUAUGGAAAUAACGCUGCUGCUCGUAACCGUCAGUUGCAGGAAUCCUUUGUAAAAUGGUUUAUGGCACUUACAGCUGUGGGUGCUACAUUGGCCAUUGCUGCAUUCUUCGCCCGGAGAAGUUAACGGCAAUGAGACUGCAUUAAGAGGCAAGCAUUGGUCGACAGCCAUUAUAUUGGAAGAAUAUCUUAGCAGACUGGCAUAGCCAUGAAAGCUGCACAGAUGGAUCUCAGCUUACCCCUUGUGUUGGAACUCUCAGCUGUUUGUACAUUGCGUAUUGUGUAUGUGUACUCAGUUUACAAUUACAAAGCAUUCAUGCAGGUGCUGUGACAGAAACGGAGAUUAUCUGCAAGUAAAUGAACUACAUCAGUAAGUAAAGCUAACUUUUUAAUUCAGGAAUAUUAUAACCUGGAGUGCAGGCGCUGACCAGCAGCUUAUACAGUGAAGAUCUCUAUUCAGUGACAUGGCUCUGUGCCAUAUUGGCAAAAACCCACAAACAUGGCAGCCCCCUCGCUGUGCUGUGGUGUUUAUUUGAGAUGUAUCCUGUCUGACGUGACUGAAUAGAACAGAAGAAAAGCCAAGUCGCUUGGAUUCCAGGGGAGGAAUGGGGUUACAGUAGCCUGCGAGAAAGCUGCUGCUUGUUCUGGGAAUGCCAAUGGCUUACUACAGCUCAAAAUCAAAGGAAAUGUGGGCAACACCCUCAACAUAAAAACUGCACCCUCUACUGGAAGCUGCUGGGAUAACCUAGGCAAUGGAGCAGAGGUUUCCUGUAACUGAAGGCUGACUGACAUUUUAUUUAUACCAAAUUUUAAAAAUUUUUUGUUACCUGCUGAAGUAGUGACGUGGUGCUUGAGUGGGGUGGCCACAUCCGGUUUUGGCAUCGGGCCAGUGCCAUCCAAAGCCUCACUUUGGGCUCCCUGCAUUCUGGCAUUGUCUUGAUGGUAUACUGCAGGAGAAUUCGACCGUCUUGUUUGAACUGAAGUUGAAGCUGCCACUGCUUCUCUGCAGGAACGAAAAGCAAGACUUUGGCCAUUUUGAUGAUGAUGUGAAGUGAUCAUUUGGGAAAGGUUUUGUGGCACAUGGGUGCCCAUGUUUCUUGAAUGCAUCAGAAUUAUUUUAAGGUUUUCCGCUGUCAUGUGUGGAUGUUGAAGGUGUGACUACUGGUCACUAUUAUUCACUGUAAUCAUUCCCUUUUAGUUUGCUGCUCACACCACAUUAGAAGCAAACUACUUUACACAAUGUCUUAAAAUUUAAAUUAAAAUGACUUGUUUUUAAAACACUAGA